rnacentral:rRNA from 1 species
GCUUCCUACGGGAGGCAGCAGUAGGGAAUCUUCCGCAAUGGACGAAUGUCUGACGGAGCAACGCCGCGUGAGUGGUGAAGGCUUUCGGGUCGUAAAACUCUGUUGUUAGGGAAGAACAAGUAUCGGAGUAACUGCCGGUACCUUGACGGUACCUAACCAGAAAGCCACGGCUAACUACGUGCCAGCAGCCGCGGUAAUACGUAGGUGGCAAGCGUUGUCCGGAAUUAUUGGGCGUAAAGCGCGCGCAGGCGGUCCUUUAAGUCUGAUGUGAAAGCCCACGGCUCAACCGUGGAGGGUCAUUGGAAACUGGGGGACUUGAGUGUAGAAGAGGAAAGCGGAAUUCCACGUGUAGCGGUGAAAUGCGUAGAGAUGUGGAGGAACACCAGUGGCGAAGGCGGCUUUCUGGUCUGUAACUGACGCUGAGGCGCGAAAGCGUGGGGAGCAAACAGGAUUAGAUACCCUGGUAGUCCACGCCGUAAACGAUGAGUGCUAAGUGUUAGAGGGUUUCCGCCCUUUAGUGCUGCAGCUAACGCAUUAAGCACUCCGCCUGGGGAGUACGGCCGCAAGGCUGAAACUCAAAGGAAUUGACGGAAGC